UGGGGAAUAUUGCACAAUGGGGAAAGCCCUGAUGCAGCGACGCCGCGUGAAGGAAGAAGUAUCUCGGUAUGUAAACUUCUAUCAGCAGGGAAGAUAGUGACGGUACCUGACUAAGAAGCCCGCUACUACGUGCCAGCAGCCGCGGUAAUACGUAGGGGCGAAGCGUUAUCCGGAUUUACUGGGUGUAAAGGGAGCGUAGACGGAGCAGCAAGUCUGAUGUGAAAGGCAGGGGCUCAACCCCUGCACGUGCAUUGGAAACUGUUGAUCUUGAGUACCGGAGGGGUAAGCGGAAUUCCUAGUGUAGCGGUGAAAUGCGUAGAUAUUAGGAGGAACACCAGUGGCGAAGGCGGCUUACUGGACGGUAACUGACGUUGAGGCUCGAAAGCGUGGGGAGCAAACAGGAUUAGAUACC
rnacentral:rRNA from 1 species